GUGAGGAAUAUUGGACAAUGGGCGCAAGCCUGAUCCAGCCAUGCCGCGUGCAGGAAGACGCAUCUAUGGUGUGUAAACUGCUUUUGUACGGGAAGAAACACUCCCUCGUGAGGGAGCUUGACGGUACCGUAAGAAUAAGGAUCGGCUAACUCCGUGCCAGCAGCCGCGGUAAUACGGAGGAUCCAAGCGUUAUCCGGAAUCAUUGGGUUUAAAGGGUCCGUAGGCGGUUUAAUAAGUCAGUGGUGAAAGCCCAUCGCUCAACGAUGGAACGGCCAUUGAUACUGUUAGACUUGAAUUACAAGGAAGUAACUAGAAUAUGUAGUGUAGCGGUGAAAUGCUUAGAUAUUACAUGGAAUACCAAUUGCGAAGGCAGGUUACUACUUGUGGAUUGACGCUGAUGGACGAAAGCGUGGGGAGCGAACAGGAUUAGAAACCCGUGUAGUCC
rnacentral:rRNA from 1 species